rnacentral:rRNA from 1 species
UACGAGCCGUGCGAACGUUGUUCGGAAUCACUGGGCUUAAAGGGCGCGUAGGCGGGCUGCCAAGUUUGGGGUGAAAUCCUCCGGCUCAACCGGAGAACGGCCUCAAAUACUGGCGGUCUCGAGGGGGGUAGGGGCAUGCGGAACUAUGCGUGGAGCGGUGAAAUGCGUUGAUAUGCAUAGGAACUCCGGUGGCGAAGGCGGCGUGCUGGACCCUUUCUGACGCUGAGGCGCGAAAGCCAGGGGAGCAAACGGG